rnacentral:misc_RNA from 1 species
GUUUUCCUUGGUAAUCUGUUCUCAGGGUUGUCUUAUUUUGGUCUGGCUUUACUUUAGAGUCAAUAGGAAACUUGUUCUGCGCGAUGGAGGAGCUAUCGUUAGCUCACUUGUCUUGGUUUAAUCUUUCUCUCGACUGUAAAUGCGUAAAACAGACUCAUUUGAUGUAGGGAUAUGGUAAUGAGCUUCAUGUUUAAGUUGAAUCUGUUCUUUCUCUUCCAAGGGGUGUAUUGUAAUGGUUUU